GCUUAACCUUGAACCAGCUUCAAGGCCUUCAUGUCAGCAUUAGCAGACAGAGCCCCCUGCUGGAAGUUCUGGGGACCAGAUUUCCAUUGGAAAUGGAGGGCUCAACUGGAUCCCAGCGCCUUGUCCUGCCUUGGAGAGCAGAGUGGAGGGCUUGGGGGCUGAGACCCGGAGAAGGACAGGCGGGCUACAGCCCAUAGGCUGUAAAGAGGGUCGUAAAGAGUCAGACACGACGGAGCGAGUGGACAACAGCAAAACACCCAAACACUGCACGCUUCACCCUCCCCGCCACCCGACUCCUCAAGGCCUUCCAUUCAUUAGUCCGGGAGGGCGGCUCUGUUGAUUAUCCCUCCAUCGACUCCUUUUCCAGGCAUGAUCUGAGGCCCAUCCUGUCAAAAUAAA